CUACGGGAGGCAGCAGUGGGGAAUCUUGGACAAUGGGCGCAAGCCUGAUCCAGCAAUGCCGCGUGAGUGAUGAAGGCCUUAGGGUUGUAAAGCUCUUUUACCAGGGAUGAUAAUGACAGUACCUGGAGAAUAAGCUCCGGCUAACUCCGUGCCAGCAGCCGCGGUAAUAC
rnacentral:rRNA from 1 species